rnacentral:lncRNA from 1 species
GUGCCCUGCCAAGUGCCUGGGAACAGUCUGGGUGGGGUGGGCAGUAUGGCCUCCUACAGCGGUGGUUCAGGCUCUGCACCACCGUGGUCUCUGCUCCCCCACCGUGAGGACUUGGAAGGCUCUGGAGCCCUAAAGUUACAAGCAGCGUGACCAAUGUGGAAAACAGUCUGUAAAGGAGAAGAUGUGCGUACCUUACAACCCGCAGUUCUGCUUCUGGGGCACACCCUGGAGCAAAGGUGUGCAGAACGAGACACAGCACAAAGGCGCCCGGGGAGGAGAAGGGGUCGAGAAACUGGACUCCCCACGUGAGCGAUACCAUGAAGGGAAGAGGAAGGACCUGCAGCUGCAUUUAUCACAUGGGGAAUCGGGAAUGCCGUUUUGGGGGGAAAGAGAAAGUCACAGAAGAAAGCACAGAGCAUCUUGCCUUUUUUUUUUUUUUUUUCCUUUUUUGAGAUGGAGUUUCGCUCUUGUUGCCCAGGCUGGAGUGCAAUGGCGCGAUCUCGGCUCACCGCAACCUCCGACUCCCGGGUUCAAGCUAUUCUCCUGCCUCAGCCUCCGAAGUAGCUAGGAUUACAGGCGCCCACCACCACGCACGGCUAAUUUUUUGUAUUUAGUAGAGAUGGGGUUUCACCAUGUUGGUCAGGCUGGUCUUGAACUCCUGAGCUCAGGUGAUCCGCCCACCUCAGCCUCCCAGAGUGCUGGGAUUACAAGCGUGAGCCACCGGGCCCAGCCGCAUCUUGCCUUUUUUUAAGAUCAAAAUAACCAAAACAAAACCAUGUAUUUUCUUAGAGACACACAUGUGUGGUAAAACUCUACAAAAUGAGUGGUUAGGAAACAAAUUCGGGAGAGUAACUGCCUGUUCGGGAGAGACGGGACUGAGACCGGGGGAGCAUGUCCUCAGUUUCAAUGACCAGAUGAUGUUCUGCUUUGUAAUUUGGGGGUGGGUUCACAGGUGUGUGUUUUAUUGUUACAGCCCAUAACUAUCAUUUAUGUUCUAUGUUUUCUUUUGCAUUAUCAAAUGUUUCAUAAUUUAAAGACUAAAAUUGUGUGAGAAUCCCAAGUUAUAAGGUGGUUAUUUAGGUGAGUCUCCAUAAUUUAGGUGAGUCUCCUAUUGAUUCUUUAGACAAUCACAGACAUGAAAACCCCCAAAUGUAAAAUUCCUGCAGAGAAUUUACAGAGCCUUGAGAGUACCUCUGUGGACUCCCAUCCAAGGAAAGCCACCCUGCGUGAGACUGCCCAGUGUCCUAACAGGCCUGUGUCUGAGGGGACGACUCCACAUACAGGAUACUGUCAGCUUUUGUGGGACACUUUCUGCACAUGGCGGUGGGGAAGGGCUGGGCAUUGCCCCUCUGGCCCGAGCAUUAACGGGCUCUGUCUCCUUCGCCACCUGCUCCUCCUUGGCUCCUCUCUGCCUGGUUUUGC